rnacentral:lncRNA from 10 species
AAGCAGGACUUGCAGGCCCAGGACCUGCUGGAUACAGUACAGCCAGACCGACGAUUCCUCCUCGUGCUGGAGUUAUCAGUGCCCCACAGAGCCACGCGCGGGCAUCUGCUGGAAGACUGACUCCUGAAAGCCAAAGCAAAACAUCAGAAACGUCGAAAGGUUCAACUUUCCUUCCUGAACCACUGAAGCCUCAGGCUGCUUUUCCUCCGCAGUCUUCUUUGCCCCCGCCUGCUCAAAGGUUGCAAGAGCCUCUUGUCCCUGUGGCAGCACCUAUGCCUCAGUCUGGCCCCCAGCCAAAUUUGGAAACCCCACCACAACCACCACCUCGAAGCAGGUCAUCCCAUAGCUUGCCUUCAGAAGCUUCCUCACAACCGCAAGAGCAACCAUCAGGGUAACAGGUAAAAACAAAUGGAAUCUCUGAU